GAGUAUUUGGAGAAACGAAAUGGAAAGUGUUGGUGGAUCUGGAAGUCAACCUCCUCUACAAAAUGUGGAACAUGAUAUGGAAGUAGAAGUUGUAGAGAAAGAUACAUCUCAACCUCCAUGGCCUCCACCUGUUCUAAAA